rnacentral:rRNA from 1 species
GACGAACGCUGGCGGCGUGCUUAACACAUGCAAGUCGAACGGAAAGGCCCUGCUUUUGUGGGGUGCUCGAGUGGCGAACGGGUGAGUAACACGUGAGUAACCUGCCCUUGACUUUGGGAUAACUUCAGGAAACUGGGGCUAAUACCGGAUAGGAGCUCCUGCUGCAUGGUGGGGGUUGGAAAGUUUCGGCGGUUGGGGAUGGACUCGCGGCUUAUCAGCUUGUUGGUGGGGUAGUGGCUUACCAAGGCUUUGACGGGUAGCCGGCCUGAGAGGGUGACCGGCCACAUUGGGACGGAGAAACGGCCCAGACUCCUACGGGAGGCAGCAGUGGGGAAUAUUGCACAAUGGGCGGAAGCCUGAUGCAGCAACGCCGCGUGCGGGAUGACGGCCUUCGGGUUGUAAACCGCUUUCGCCUGUGACGAAGCGUGAGUGACGGUAAUGGGUAAAGAAGCACCGGCUAACUACGUG